rnacentral:rRNA from 1 species
UACGAAGGGGGCUAGCGUUGCUCGGAAUCACUGGGCGUAAAGCGCGUGUAGGCGGCUUUGCAAGUCGGGUGUGAAAGCCCUCAGCUUAACUGAGGAAGUGCGCCCGAAACUGCUUGGCUUGAGUACCGGAGAGGAUGGUGGAAUUCCCGAAGUAGAGGUGAAAUUCGUAGAUAUCGGGAGGAACACCGGUGGCGAAGGCGACCAUCUGGACGGAUACUGACGCUGAGACGCGAAAGCGUGGGUAGCAAACAGG